UUGGUCAAAACUAAAAAAAAAAUAAUCGAAAAUUUAUUCCAAACAUAUGAAUAUGUAAAAUUCUACUCAGACGAAAUGCCUCGUAACGAAUCAGAUUUGGAGAGACAAGCUCGAGAGAGAAGUAAACGGGAAUUUUGGACACACACGAUAAUACUUUAUACCGUGGGGUUUUCAGCUGCUUUUGCAAUUUUCCUUUACCUUUACUUAUCAUACAGACUUAAAUAUAUUCACGAAGAGAACGUUCUGGAACGAUUAAAUAAGAUCAGUCUUGAAACUAAUGUCACUGAAACUAUAUAACUUGUCUAUUUUUUGAAUUUAGUUUGAUCAAAUAACGAUAGAUGAUGCUUUUGAUCUAGCCUGUUACGGAAUUGAAUCAUAUCCUUUGAUAAUUUUAUUAUUUUAUUGAUAUUUCUGUUUUAUAAAUGCAAUUGGUUAUAUACUAUAAGAGAAAGCGAAUAUAGAUAUUAUUUUUUGCCGUGGGCCUCUCAGCUGCUUUGGGUAUUUUCCUUUUUGUUUAUUUAUCAAACAAUAUAACACUUCUAAAGGAAAAGGAGGCUCUGAAUCGCUUUAACGAGAUCAGUCUUAAGUCUAAAGAUCAUGACAUUAAAACUCUCAUAUAACAAGUUUAUUUUUUAAAUUUGAUGCUUAUCACGAAACGGAAUCAUGACUCUUAUCCAUUGGUUAUUUUAAUAUUUUGUAAUGUAAUGUGUUUUAUAAAUUUAAUUGGUUAUAUACUAAAGGAGGAAACGGAUGCAGAUUAUAUUUUGUGCAUUUCAUUGGUUAUUUUUUAGUUCCGAGCUUCAUGGCAUCGCUUCUUCCAAUACCGUAUUUUAUUUUAUUAUCACUUUGUAUAAAUUAAUAUAAUCUUGUAUUCUU